CUUGGUUAGGAGGCUCCUCCUGUAACACGGAUGGAUGAUGAGGCUGGUGUUGGCCCUGGCAAGUGACUCAGCCCCACGCCAUCUUCAUUGCCUUUAGUGAGCAUUUUCUGAGAACCUGCUAUGUGUGGCAUCACCCUGAGGGUUGGGGGACACUGCAGAUGAUCAGUCAGACCAGCUACAACCUCGUGGGUGAUGCCUGCCAAAGGGGACACACAAGAAACGAUGUAAGUGAAAGGGCCAGUCAGUGCUACCAAGAAAAAUCAUGUGGCUUUAAGAACCACAGUAUGCGUGGGAAGUCAUUGUGUCACCCUUCUUUUGAAGAAGUGACAUUUGAACAGAAAUCUAAAUGAAGGUUAGAAAGGGACAUGUUAGAUGAUUUUAGGGAAGAGAGUUUCUGGCAGAAGGAACAAGGCAAGUAUCCCAAGGUAUGAGUAAGUCUGGGAUCACUGAAAAGACCUCAAAACUGAAUGGAUGGAUGGAUGGAUGGAUGGACGGAGAGAUGGAUGGAUGGAUAGAUGGAUGGAUGGACAGAUGGAUGGAUGGAUGGGCAGAUGGGUGGGUAAGUGGUGGAUGGAUGGACAGAUGGAUGGGUGGGUGGAUGGGUAGAUGGAUGGAUGGGUGGGCAGAUGGAUGUCGAUGGAUGGGUAGAUGGGUGGGUAGGUGGUAGAUGGGCAGGUGGAUGGGUAGGUGGUGGAUGGAUGGAUGGGCAGAUGGGUGGGUAGAUGGUAGAUGGAUGGAUGAUGGGUGUGUGGAUGGGUGGAUGGAUGGAUGGGCAGAUGAAUGUGGAUAGAUGGGCAGAUGGGCAGAUGGAUGGAUAGAUGGGUGGGUGGAUGGAUGGAUGGAUGGAUGGGUGGAUGGGCAGAUGGGUGGGUAGGUGGUAGGUGGCAGGUAGAGUAAGCCAGAGAGAGAGGAAGUCAGUAAGGCAGUGUAAAGAAGAGGGAGACAGGGACUGGAUCCUGUAGGUGAGGACUCAGGAUUUAUUCUAAGGAUGAAGGGAAGCUGGUGGUAUUUUUUUUAGCUCGCUGGAAAGGCUCAAUGGCAGAAUGGAAAUAAGAGGGGAAAAAAAUCAGUGAACUUGGAGAUAGAACAAUAGAAAUAAACCAAUCUGAACAACAGAGAGAAAAUGGACUGGAAAAACAUGGAGUCUUGGGAAGUCACGGGACUGUAACAGAAGAACUGUCAUUUGUGUUCUCAGAGUCCAAGAAGGAGGAGAAAGAGUGGGGUCGGACAAAGCAUCCCCAAGGAACUACUUUGAAUUUUAAAAAACCCUACAUUCGACAAAAAGACAACAGAUUUAAGAAGUGUGUGGGCUCUAAACAGGGGAAAACCAAAGAAAUUCAUGCCCAGGCACGUGGUCAAACUCCUGAAAACUCAAAGACAAUGAAAAACUCUUGAAAUCAGAGAGAGAGAAUAACAUUUUAUCAAAAGGGGAAAAUGGAUGACAGCAGAUUUCUCACCUGGAACUAUGGCAGCCAGAAAGUAGUGGCACUGCUGAAGGAAAACAGAAAAGAAGCCGAGGAGCAGGUCCCUGGUGAAGGUCACUAAGGAAUGGUCCUCAGCAGACCCCCUAGAAGAACGGCUGGAUGAAACUCUGGAAACAGAAAGGAAAUGAUGAAAGAAGGAAUCUCAGGAUAGCGAGGAGGAGGAAAAGAUGAACAGGAAGAGUAAAAAUAUGGGUAGGUAUGAUAGGUUCUCUCGGGCUUUCUGAAUUACAUUUGAGAGUUGAAGCCAAAAUACCAUCAUCUGAUUGAUGAGCUUUACAAAGCAUGCAAAGGGAGGGCCGGAGACUUAGCUCAGUGGCACUAUGCCUGUCUGGCGAGUGCAUGAUCCUGAGUUUGAUCCCUGGUACCAAAAAAAAGAAAAAA
ensembl:lncRNA